CUGUACGAGCCUACUGUACAGCUGCUGACUCAUGCGCCCGUCCCUUCCACCUUUCGGCAGUUGAAGUUGCAAAACUGGAGGGAAGCAUGUAUACUGAGAAAAGCAGAGGUUCUAGAUCCUUGAGGGACCCCAUGGAUAACUGGCAAUAAACUGGAGGAUUCACCAUUUAAAUCUACAAAAUGGUAUCGAUCAGACAGAACAAUAUUCAAGAUCCUAACCAGUCUGACUUCAAAGCAGAACAGUCCACAGCCAAAUUUUCCAUCAAUCCUCAUCCUCCUUGACCUUUCAGCAGUGUCUAAAGCAGUUAACCACAAGACUCUAUUGUCCGUCUUCAGAAGUCAUGGAUUUGGCAAUGGCAGCAUGGCAAUGGUGCUCCCUUCUAUGAAGGGCUGGUCAUACCAGGCAUCUGGCAGACAAGUGAAGUCAAGUCAAGAAGCACUUAUUGUAAUUUCAACCAUAUAUCCUGUAGAUGUUGCAGUACACAGUGAAAUGAGACAAAGUUUCUCCAGGACCAUGGUGCUACAUAAAACAAAG